rnacentral:rRNA from 1 species
CCUACGGGGGGCAGCAGUGGGGAAUAUUGGACAAUGGGGGGAACCCUGAACCAGCCAUGCCGCGUGUGUGAAGAAGGCCCUCGGGUUGUAAAGCACUUUCAGUGAGGAAGAACGCCUGGUGGUUAAUACCCAUCAGGAAAGACAUCACUCACAGAAGAAGCACCGGCUAACUCCGUGCCAGCAGCCGCGGUAAUACGGAGGGUGCGAGCGUUAAUCGGAAUUACUGGGCGUAAAGCGCGCGUAGGUGGCUUGAUAAGCCGGUUGUGAAAGCCCCGGGCUCAACCUGGGAACGGCAUCCGGAACUGUCAAGCUAGAGUGCAGGAGAGGAAGGUAGAAUUCCCGGUGUAGCGGUGAAAUGCGUAGAGAUCGGGAGGAAUACCAGUGGCGAAGGCGGCCUUCUGGACUGACACUGACACUGAGGUGCGAAAGCGUGGGUAGCAAACAGGAUUAGAUACCCGGGUAGUC